rnacentral:misc_RNA from 1 species
AACGCAAAUUGCACUCCCUGGCAAUCCGGGGAGUAUGCCUGUUUGAGGGUCAGUUUAAAUAAAAUCGGGAUGUUGCUUUCUGGUGGCAUUUCGGAAUUGGGUCAUCUUAGCCCCUUAGGUGGUGUUAAGAGGUCUGAAAUUGACAUUCUUGCCAUCCUGGACGUGUAUAAUUUCUUGUCCGUUCCGGGUGUCAUUCUCUUCCAUUGGGCGUGGUCACGUCGUGUGAUUUCGCGCCCAUGGCUCUCUCAUUAAAUGACCUCAAAUCAGGUAAGAGUACCCGCUGAACUUAA